CAAUAGCGUAUAUUAAAGUUGUUGCGGUUAAAAAGCUCGUAGUUGAUCCUCAGUUCCGGACUGACGGUGCACCGCCCGGUGUCUCUCCGUCAUGCUCCGAACAGCAGGGAAGACCCUGCCCGGCCGGCUCGCACGGGGUGCUCUUCAUCGAGUGUCCCGCGUGGCCGGCGAGUUUACUUUGAAAAAAUUAGAGUGCUCAGAGCAGGCUACUUGAAUGGCCUGAAUGGUGAUGCAUGGAAUAAUGGAAUAGGACCUCGGUUCUAUUUUAUUGGUUUUCGGAACCCGAGGUAAUGACUAAUAGAAACAGGCGGGGGCAUUCGUACUGCGACGCUAGAGGUGAAAUUCUUGGACCGUCGCAAGACGAACUACUGCGAAAGCAUUUGCCAAGGAUGUUUUCAUUAAUCAAGAACGAAAGUUAGAGGUUCGAAGGCGAUCAGAUACCGCCCUAGUUCUAACCAUAAACGAUGCUGACUAGCGAUCCGCCGGCGUUAUUCCCAUGACCCGGCGGGCAGCUUCCGGGAAACCAAAGUCUUUGGGUUCCGGGGGAAGUAUGGUUGCAAAGCUGAAACUUAAAGGAAUUGACGGAAGGGCACCACCAGGAGUGGAGCCUGCGGCUUAAUUUGACUCAACACGGGGAACCUCACCAGGCCCGGACACCGGAAGGAUUGACAGAUUGAGAGCUCUUUCUCGAUUCGGUGGGUGGUGGUGCAUGGCCGUUCUUAGUUGGUGGAGCGAUUUGUCUGGUUAAUUCCGAUAACGAACGAGACUCUGGCCUAUUAACUAGUCGACGGAUUUCCAGCCAUUGGUGUCCAGUUCGCAACUUCUUCUUAGAGGGACUAGCGGCAUUCUAGCCGCACGAGAUUGAGCAAUAACAGGUCUGUGAUGCCCUUAGAUGUUCUGGGCCGCACGCGCGCUACACUGAAGGGACCAACGUGUUCUCCCCCUCCGAGAGGAGCGGGUAACCCGUUCAAACCCCUUCAUGAUAGGGAUUGGGGCUUGCAAUUGUUUCCCAUGAACGAGGAAUUCCCAGUAAGCGCAAGUCAUCAGCUUGCGUUGAUUACGUCCCUGCCCUUUGUACACACCGCCCGUCGCUACUACCGAUUGAAUGAUUUAGUGAGGCCUUCGGACUGGCGCUCCUGGAUGCUGGACCUCGCCCCUCACGGGGGGGGCCCUCGCCUCGAGCUGACGGAAAGAUGUCCAAACUUGAUCAUUUAGAGGAAGUAAAAGUCGUAACAAGGUUUCCGU
rnacentral:rRNA from 1 species